rnacentral:rRNA from 1 species
UACGGGGGGGGCAAGCGUUGUUCGGAAUUACUGGGCGUAAAGGGCGCGUAGGCGGCCCGGUAAGUCCGCUGUGAAAGUCAAGGGCUCAACCCUUGAAUGCCGGUGGAUACUGCAGGGCUAGAGUCCGGAAGAGGCGAGUGGAAUUCCUGGUGUAGCGGUGAAAUGCGCAGAUAUCAGGAGGAACACCGAUGGCGAAGGCAGCUCGCUGGACGGUGACUGACGCUGAGGCGCGAAAGCGUGGGGAGCAAACAGG